rnacentral:rRNA from 1 species
AUUGAACGCUGGCGGCAUGCUUUACACAUGCAAGUCGGACGGCAGCACAGAGAAGCUUGCUUCUUGGGUGGCGAGUGGCGAACGGGUGAGUAACAUAUCGGAACGUACCGAGUAAUGGGGGAUAACUAAUCGAAAGAUUAGCUAAUACCGCAUAUUCUCUGAGGAGGAAAGCAGGGGACCUUUUGGCCUUGCGUUAUUCGAGCGGCCGAUAUCUGAUUAGCUAGUUGGUGGGGUAAAGGCCUACCAAGGCGACGAUCAGUAGCGGGUCUGAGAGGAUGAUCCGCCACACUGGGACUGAGACACGGCCCAGACUCCUACGGGAGGCAGCAGUGGGGAAUUUUGGACAAUGGGCGCAAGCCUGAUCCAGCCAUGCCGCGUGUCUGAAGAAGGCCUUCGGGUUGUAAAGGACUUUUGUCAGGGAAGAAAAGGCUGUUGCUAAUAUCGACAGCUGAUGACGGUACCUGAAGAAUAAGCACCGGCUAACUACGUGCCAGCAGCCGCGGUAAUACGUAGGGUGCGAGCGUUAAUCGGAAUUACUGGGCGUAAAGCGAGCGCAGACGGUUACUUAAGCAGGAUGUGAAAUCCCCGGGCUCAACCUGGGAACUGCGUUCUGAACUGGGUGACUAGAGUGUGUCAGAGGGAGGUAGAAUUCCACGUGUAGCAGUGAAAUGCGUAGAGAUGUUGGAGGUAUACCGAUGGCUAAAGGCAGCCUCCCUGGGAAU